UACGUAGGGUGCAAGCGUUGUCCGGAAUUAUUGGGCGUAAAGAGCUCGUAGGCGGUCUGUCGCGUCGGCUGUGAAAACUCGGGGCUCACCCCCGAGCCUGCAGUCGAUACGGGCAGACUAGAGUGCUGUAGGGGAGACUGGAAUUCCUGGUGUAGCGGUGGAAUGCGCAGAUAUCAGGAGGAACACCGAUGGCGAAGGCAGAUCUCUGGGCCGUAACUGACGCUGAGGAGCGAAAGCGUGGGGAGCGAACAGG
rnacentral:rRNA from 1 species